rnacentral:rRNA from 1 species
CCUACGGGUUGCACCAGUGGGGAAUAUUGGACAAUGGGCGAAAGCCUGAUCCAGCAAUGCCGCGUGUGUGAAGAAGGUCUUCGGAUUAAGGCACUUUCGACGGGGACGAUGAUGACGGUACCCGUAGAAGAAGCCACGGCUAACUUCGUGCCAGCAGCCGCGGUAAUACGAAGGGGGCUAGCGUUGCUCGGAAUGACUGGGCGUAAAGGGCGCGUAGGCGGUUUAUGCAGUCAGACGUGAAAUCCCCGGGCUUAACCUGGGAACUGCAUUUGAGACGCAUAGACUAGAGGUCGAGAGAGGGUUGUGGAAUUCCCAGAGUAGAGGUGAAAUUCGUAGAUAUUGGGAGGAACACCGGUGGCGAAGGCGGCAACCUGGCUCGAUACUGACGCUGAGGCGCGAAAGCGUGGGGAGCAAACAGGAUUAGAUACCCCCGUAGUC